rnacentral:rRNA from 1 species
CCUACGGGUGGCAGCAGUGGGGAAUAUUGCACAAUGGAUGGAACUCUGAUGCAGCGACGCCGCGUGAUUGAAGAAGUCAUUCGUUAUUUAAAGCUCUAUCAGCAGGGAAGAAACUGACGGUACCUGAAAAAGAAGCUCCGGCUAAAUACGUGCCAGCAGCCGCGGUAAUACGUAGGGAGCAAGCGUUAGCCGGAUUUACUGGGUGUAAAGGGAGAGUAGGUGGCAGGGCAAGUCCGGAGUGAAAACCGAAAGCUCAACAAUGGGAAUGCUUUAGAAACUGGCCAGCUAGAGUGCAGGAGAGGCAAGUGGAAUUCUUAGUGUAGCGGUGAAAUGCGUAGAUAUUAGGAGGAACACCAGUGGCGAAGGCGGCUUGCUGGACUGUAACUGACACUGAGGCUCGAAAGCGUGGGGAGCAAACAGGAUUAGAUACCCUAGUAGUC